GAUGAACGCUGGCGGCGUGCCUAAUACAUGCAAGUCGAGCGAACGGAUGAGAUGCUUGCUUCUCUGAUGUUAGCGGCGGACAGGUGAGUAACACGUGGCGAAACUACCUAUAAGACUGGGAUAAACUCGGGAAACCGGAGCUAAUACCGGCUAAUAUUUUGAACAGCAAGGUUCAAAAGUGUAAGACGGUCUUGUUGUCACUUAUCGAUGGAUCCGCGCGGCAUUAGCUAGUUGGUAAGGUAACGGCUUACCAAGGCAACGAUGCAUAGCCGACCUGAGAGGGUGAUCGGCCACACUGGAACUGAGACACGGCCCAGACUCCUACGGGAGGCAGCAGUGGGGAAUUUUGGGCAAUGGGCGAAAGCCUGACGGAGCAACGCCGCGUGAGUGAUGAAGGUCUUCGGGUUGUAAAGCUCUUUUAGCUGGGAAGAAAAUGUGUCCACGAAUCUAGGCUGAGCAUGACGGUACCAAAAUAGAAAGCAACGGCUAACUACGUG
rnacentral:rRNA from 1 species